UACGUAGGCAGCAAGCGUUGUUCGGAGUUACUGGGCGUAAAGGGUGUGUAGGCGGUUCUUUAAGUUUGGUGUGAAAUCUCCCGGCUCAACCGGGAGGGUGCGCCGAAUACUGAGGAGCUAGAGUGCGGGAGAGGAAAGUGGAAUUCCUGGUGUAGCGGUGAAAUGCGUAGAUAUCCGGAAGAACACCGGUGGCGAAGGCGGCCCGCUGGGCAACUGCUGACACUGAGGCGCGACAGCGUGGGGAGCAAACAGG
rnacentral:rRNA from 1 species